CGCGUGAUGACAUUCUCCGGAAUCGCUGUACGGCCUUGAUGAAAGCACAUUUGAACCCUUUUCCAUCUGAUU
rnacentral:snoRNA from 1 species